rnacentral:rRNA from 1 species
UACGGAGGAGGCAAGGGUUAUCCGGAAUUAUUGGGCGUAACGCGUCCGUAGGUGGUUGACCAAGUCUGCUGUCAAAGGGUGGGGCUUAACCUCAUAAAGGCAGUGGAAACUGGUGAGCUAGAGUGCGGUAGGGGUAAGGGGAAUUCCCAGUGUAGCGGUGAAAUGCGUAGAGAUUGGGAAGAACAUCGGUGGCGAAAGCGCCUUGCUGGGCCUGCACUGACACUGAGGGACGAAAGCUAGGGGAGCGAAAGGG